rnacentral:rRNA from 1 species
UACGUAGGGUGCAAGCGUUAAUCGGAAUUACUGGGCGUAAAGCGUGCGCAGGCGGUUUUGUAAGUCUGACGUGAAAGCCCCGGGCUCAACCUGGGAAUUGCGUUGGAGACUGCAAGGCUUGAAUCUGGCAGAGGGGGGUAGAAUUCCACGUGUAGCAGUGAAAUGCGUAGAUAUGCGGAGGAACACCGAUGGCGGAGGCAGCCCCCUGGGCCAACACUGACGCUCAUGCACGAAAGCGUGGGGAGCAAACAGG